CCGGGAAAAAUAAAGACUAAGCUUAGCUAGCUUUCUUCCUGACUUGAUAGAGUUUUGAAAUUUACGACACCAGACAAGAGGGAGCGGACAAACCUGAUGAAUAAAAUGGUUAAUUGGGUCAAUUUGUUGUUUUUUUAUUUUUUCUACCAAUCUCUUGAAGGGAUGACUUGAAAGAAAAGAGGCCAAAGCUGUUAUCUCUGUGACCCCCCACCUUGUGAAGCAAGCUCAACCUGAAUCCACCAAAUGUCAGAGGAAAAGCCUAGUUGUUCUGUUCACAAUCUGCAUCAAUAAACUGCACACUGCAAAACUGAUGCAAUUUUAGAAGGCAAAUGGGAUACUACUGAAUAAGAUACAUUUGAGACCUACUAUGGCGUAUCCUUAUAAUUUCCAAGGAAACCUGGCUAUAAUUACAAUCGAAAACAUACAAAAUCCUCUUUCAAGUCAUCAGUUCAAAAGUCCCACUUCAAACAUAUCCAUAAUAAACAAGGGCUCAAGCCUCAAUUCUCUUUAUGCCAACAAGGAGAAGACUAAAUAAUAACCAGAUGCUUAACUAUAUUAAAAAAGGACAAAGAAAUAGGGGCAGUAAUAAAAGAAAGAACAAGUAUCUAUGUCAAUUUAAACACCUACACUUCAUGA
rnacentral:lncRNA from 1 species